rnacentral:lncRNA from 1 species
UCCAAAUCUCAUCUAAAUUAUAAAUUCCACAUGUUGUCAGAGGAAAUUGGUGGGAGGUGAUUGAAUUAUGGGGGUGUGUUUUUCCUGUGCUGUUCUCAUGACAGCGAAUGAGUCUCACGAGAUCUGACGGUUUUAAUAAGGGGAGUUUCCCUGUACAAACUCUCUUCUCUUAUCUGCUGCCGUGUGAGACAUGCCUUUCACCUUCCACCAUGAUUGUGAGGCCUUGCCAGCCACGGGAACCGCUCAAAGGUGGAAGUGUGUCCAGAGUUGGUUCCUGCCAGUGGGUUGGUUCGUGGUCUUGCUGACUUCAAGAAUGACACCGCUGACCUUUGCGAUUGGAGACUUGAAGAGAUGAGUUUAACCUGCCAGUGAAUACUAUCUUGAAUGUAACACAAACACAGAAGAGUACACUGAUCGUGGAGUCUCACUCUGUCACCCAGGCUGGAAUGCAGUGACACAGUCUCGGCUCACUGCAACCUCUGCCUCCCAGGUUCAAACAAUUCUCCUGCCUCAGCCUCCUGAGUAGCAGGGAUUACAGGUGUCCACCAUCACGGCCAGCUGAUUUUUGUGUUUUUAAUAGAAACAGGGUUUCGCCAUGUUGGCCAGGCUGGUCUCGAACUCCUGACCUUAAGUGAUUCACCCACCUCAGCCUCCCAAAGUGCUGGGAUUACAGGCAUGAGCCAGCACACCCGGCCAAGGCUAUAUUUUCAUGUGUACUAGAAUGAAAGCUAUGUGACAAUGGGUUCUCCUGUGUGUGCUUUUUAAAUUCUGUAUCCUCAGUGCCUAGAGCAGAAUCUGACACAAAAAUUUAUGUCAAGUAUAUCAGUAAUAUAUAUGUAAUUUAUGUAUAUGUAUAAAUAUAUGUGACUAUGUAUGUAUGCAUUAAUGUACAUGGAGAAACAUAUAUAUAUAUGUGUAUGCAUGCAUCUACACACUGCAAAACACGCUAAAAAUGUUGAUUUAAUCAUUGGAUGUGAAAGUGUGAGUAACUUUAUUUUUUUAUAUACUUUUCCUAAAUUUGCAAUUUUUCUGAUUAUGUAAUUAUUAAUUUUAAAAAUGGAUAAAAGUAAUGCUAGUAAGAACAUAAAUAUUA